CAAUAUUUAAAACAUUGCGUUGCAAAAGUUGAUUAAAUAAAACGUGCAUACACAUUUAAAACGAAUUAGUCUGUCGGCAAAAUAAUAAGCACUGUAAAAAGCACGAUAAUAAGAAAAGAAGGCGGUUGUUCUUAGGUGGAUGUUUUCCUGCCGGAGCAAAAAGACGUGAGACACACACAUCGGAAGUCGUUGUUGCAGCAUGCCUGACGCCAUCUCCAUGGAAACCAGUAGACAACUCAACUUCGUACGACGAGAGCGUUGCAUAAGAAAAGGCUCAGCUCACCGCUGCCACCCCCGCAGGGAGGGCGAAGACGAGCACACGCUGUUCUCCGAAGCGUGUGCCGUCAGCCGACCGCGUUUUUUCACACUGCAGACUCACCGUGCAGCCACCUCAGAGCUACAGCGUCGGAGGACAACGCAGCUUACAGUGGGAGAAACAAUGUGAUUACCAUUUCCAAGUGUUGUAUAAUGGAGUGAUAUAAGAAAAAGUGGAGGGCAAGAAAUGAUAGCAGAGGGGCUGGUUUUACAGUAUCCUUCAAAAGGCAUGGCAAGUAAGAGAAGAUCAGCAGGUGCCAGCUCUAUUGGCAGCAGGUCGAGCAGCACAUCAUACAAUGGCUCUAUGCACUCUCGACAAAGCUGUUUAGAAGACCUGUUAGUGCAACAGUACCAUGACAAGUUGAGCAAAACCUCCCAGUCACCACAGUAUCAGCUUCCCAGACCAUCUGUCAUUGAGCAAGGAGGAAAAUUGGAUGGUGAAUGGCGUGGCACUCCCUGCUGAUGCAAAGCGUGGCACGACCAAGCCCAGCCUCUCGCUGCACGUGAGGAAGCUGAGUGACAACACUACAGUCAGGAUUCUGGUUUUUCAGAAUGGAGCAGGGCUGGAUGGGUGUGAGGUCAUUGCAGCAGUGGAUCAAACGGAGAAGUUUCUAGGUCUUUGUAAGGUUAAACCUUACCUCCGCAGCAGUGAAUAUAUAACUGGGAUGGAAAAUGAACAGAACAUCUCAGCCGCAUAAAAAUUUCCAUUGCUUGACAGCUGUCUGCAGAAUUCCAUUACUCCAUUGCAAGGACCUGCCUGGGUCUCUAAGGAAGAAGAAAACUGUACAUCCAAGGAGUCCUGGGGGCCUUUCAUCAAAAGCUGAAGUCUGCCAACGAGUAUAGUAAACAGUUGGAUUAUGCCCUUGAUAAUAACACUGAGAUAGUCACAAAGAAGGAAAUACUCUCAAUGACAAUGGAAGAGCUGUAUAACAACAAAGAAGAGGUGAACCAGCUGAUUGAUGAAUUGCGAGCUGCCAUCAAAAAGCACAAGGGUCAGCUCUCCAAACUCGCUCUGCAAUUACAGGCUGAGGAGGAUCAGUGCGCCGGCUAUGUGUACCAGCACAUUAAACAGCUUUCAACAAGGAGCAGAGAUCCACAGGGCCUGCAGCUAAAAGAGAAGGUGAAAACCUGUUGAAAAGACUGAUGGGGACUUCCUAGUGACGCGCAUCCAGUAAAGGCGCUCCGCGUGGAGUGCAUGAUGCGCACUAUAGCCUGGAUUUCGCAGGUAUAUGAAAAUGGGCAGGACACUGAGGAGACCGUUGUUUACAUCAACAGGAAGUUAAAGGGUUGCGGAAAGGAUGUCAAACUUAUGAUGGAUAGAUUACUGCAAAUGGUUGGUCAGAGACUGCAGUCUUCCCAAAUGUAUAACCCUUCUGGUCCUAAUUUCAAGGACAAGGACUAUGCAACUCACUUUCCCGUCAAAAUGAGCUAAAGGUUUGGGUGUCAUAUUGAGAAGACUACCGGUAAGGAUUGUAUUUGAUAUCUCUGCGACUCUCCUCGCUCACAGCUUUCGACACGCUAAUGAAGAGCCUAGCAUAAUCCUAACAUUGCCCCCAAGUACGACACAGCAACUGUUUUUAUUACAUCGCUGGAAAUGUUCAGGAGGUCUCGUUUGAGGCAGUCGUUGACAUCUCUGCCUUUCUCUUGUAAUGUCUUCUCAUCGUUCCUGAUGCCUGCCUGUCAGCACAGCAAGCAGGAUUUUUUCAUGUCUGAAUAGCCACCUUAAUGAUGGCAGAUGGAAGCACCACAGGGGGCUGAAGCCCAUCACACUGUCAUUGUUGUGGGCCGCCCUGACCCGCUACUGUGAUUCCAUCUCAUUUAUGUCGUCCUUUUUUUAUACUUAAGGCAAAGUGAACAGUAAUUGAAAAGUAUGAACCACAGAUCUAGUACUGGGUCCUACUUUUGUGACUGUUGUUACACAGAGUACACUAACCAGUGACAGAAAAUAUAAAGCUAUACAUCAUUUUAAUGGUCGGUUUCCUUUAAUUCAAGUCCAUGCCGUAGAUUUAAAUGUUGUCAAUGACAAUAGUUUCUUUUCAUCUACCAUUUAUAAAGACUGACUCCUAGACUGGAAUGAAUUGAUUGAGCUAAUAUGCCAUAACAGUUCAUUAGCUUAUAUGUUAAAUGCAUUAUUACAAUUAAGAAAAUAGGCAACAAUGCAGUGAAAUGUGUCCAGUACAGUAUGUCUUUUUAGGGGCUGAUAGAUUAUGAGAUGUGCAGUAUGUACUCCAUGGAAAUAGGUAUCAUACAUGUUGAAUAAUAAUAAUAAUAAUAAUAAUAAUAAUAAUAAUAAUAAUAAUAAUAAUACAUUCCGAGUAAAAUUAAAACAAUCAGAACAGGAAUCCAAGCUAAAUACCUUAACUUGUUCUUCUGCUAGAAGUUCUUAGGAAAUUGUUUGUGUGUUGCUGACAGUAAGGGCAAUGCAGACCAAGUACAGAACUGAUAAGAGCAUUGUCUGACUUUCCCACACUGCUUUUGUUGGUGCUGCUCAGCUCUGACCUGGGCGGAUCAUUCUCUGCAGGGGCUGAGAGGGGAGUCUAGUGACUAGUCUCCAUGUUUAUUCAAUCCAGAGCCCUCCAAAAUGGUGCCAGAUGGAAUGGUGGCUUUGUGAUGCGGCCCAGAAUGCACUGCUGACCACUUACAGCUCAAUCUGGAUAUAAGCUUCGCUGUACAGAAACGAAACACAAGGCUUUACACCAUGGUGCUGCCUAAUCCCUGUAAAAGUCAUUGUGAACUGAUGGUUAAGCAAGUAUGCUGUGGCCUCAGUUCAGCAGGUUAAACCUAGCUCUUAGUGGACAGUGAUCCACAUCAAAAGACCACAUCACAAUUCAGCACAAUUCAUGAGUUUGAUCAAAGGCAAAGAUAGCCGUGACAAGAGAAGAAUGCCUGGAAUAUAAAAUGAAGAUUAGUUAAGGUUUUACAGUGCAGAAGUUAAGGUUGUGUAGAUCAUGUGCUUCCAAUUAAAUACAGAUAUUGAUCUGUACUGGUUGCGGUUUUUUUUUCUCAAUAAUUUGUUUGUCAAGACAACUGCAAUAAAAAGAAAAAGGCGGUUUCUGAGUACAUCUGAAGGUUCACAUUCACAUCUAUGUUCAUUAAUUGUAGCCUUGAAAGCUUUUUAAAACAUAUACAUUGUGCAAAUGAAUACGGUUGUCAUUUUGCUGAAGUAUUAUUUUUAAUAUUAGUUUCUAUGUAUUGUGUUUAUGUAUUGUAACAUAAUUUAAAACAUCUGUUAACUCUUAAAAAGAUGUCAAGUUAAAGAAAUGAAGACUUUGUAAAAUACCUACAACUAGUUCACGUUUGUAUGUACUGUUUGGUUAAUAUCUACAGCACUGAAUAGUAAUAAUAAUAAUAAUAAUAAUAAUAAUAAUAAUAAUAAUAAUAGCACUCUUUAUAGAAACAGCAUUGUUUCAGUUGAAAUAAAAGAUUGAAUAUAUCACUCCAUUUACUUCAUGCUAUUCCAUUUACUAGCAGCCAUUACAUAUUUUAAACUACUGUGUGAGUGGGUUUAAGAGGCUAUUGCUCAGAGAUAGGAUUAUACAACCUAAUUAGAGGAGCAUGUUUACUGUCUCAAUGUAUUUAUUUAUCUAUUUGGAUAGGAGGCAGUAUUCUUAAUUGCAAUUUUCCCUCGUGCUAAUUCGCAUUUGCUUUACCCACAGGUCACCCUAUAACCCUGUUCUGAGUCUGCCAUUUGACAGGGUAACAGCAGUUGUUAAAACUCUUCUGGACCCUGAUGCUGAACUACCAAUUUAUUAGAUUAGAACUACCAACUGUUAUUAGAUUGGAGUAUUCUAGAGCCACAGCGAUCCAUGUACCAGUGUACCAAAAAAAUUGUACUUGUGGCGGGUAAUGUUGUAUUAAAGUAUGAUAUUAUACAUUCCUUAAUUUAGAGAUCAGGAUUUUUUUUCUCCUGUUAGCAGAAUUCUCAGAAUCAUUUAGUCCCUCCACUGGGAAAAGCAUUUUGUAUAAAGUUUUGACACUUGAAAAGUGAAAAUGGUAAGCUUUCCUGAUCAUCAUCGUGUGAUAGUGCUGGAUUUCUGCAUCACUGACCUUUGAAUGCAUCUCUCCACCAAGCUCUGCAGAUAACCUGCAGAUUAUCAGCUUUCGUUCAGUCUUCCUACUGUCUUUCCUUUCAUUCUUGAUGAGUCUGCGACAUUUGGAGUCAAGUCAUGCAAAUGUUUUUUGUGCUGUUAAGAAAUUACCAAUCCAAGAAUACCCAAACAAGUCUUCUCUAUUAGAUUUGCCCAUGUUGAGAUCAAUUGAAUAGCCCCCUUGUGUCUUCUCAUUCUGUAGGUGGGAGGCUUUCAUAGGAUUCCCAGAGAACUACAAUUAUAGACAGCAGGGGAGUCAACAUCAACAGGACGAAGUGGAUUUGGACUCUCACUACAGCUUAAGAUCUUCAUAUGGUUUUAUAUGCCAGUGCCACUAUGGAAAACAGGAGCAGAAAAGCCUCCAGAAAAAAAGACAAUCAAAACCAGAUGAAUGCAGCAGUGGCAACAACUUGGCCUUCAGCUCACUUGUGGAUGGUCACCAAGGCUGGGGUUAUCCUGAGCAGGGCUCUGCCACAGCUCUGCCUGGCAGUUGGUGGGUAGCCAAUACCAUUAACAAAUGAGGAUGGAUCUUUAGAAGCAUAUAAGCUAAGCAUACAGAAAAGGGUCAGAGGCAGACCAUAUCAGCAGUGGCGCUUUGGAAAAGAUGGACAGAUAUUUUCAAGGGCCUACUCCGAGUUUGUCCUGACCUACCUGGAGGAGCUAAAUGUAAGAGAGGAGGUGACCCAGACAGAGAAGCACAAUCACCAUGGGGCCUGGUCUUCAGAACAUCAGGAGACAGAGGAUUCAGGAUACAAUGUCAGUGACACCAAUCAAAAACAAGUUCCAAGACCCAUAGACGCCCAGUCAAUGCCACCAGGAGCCCUAAGGGAGAGCAUCCAGCUGACAGUGGCACUGGUGAGGAAACUAGAAGACAAACACCCCAAGGCCUCAGCUCAAAAGUAGGCCACUGACAGAACUGAUGAUUAUUGUUCAAUGACAUUAGAUGUUUUCCUUCAGUUUCAUGUAAGAUUGCUUUCCCAGAUAUUUUUGAAAUAUCUCAAUCCCUCAAGCUCACACAGGCACCGAUUUUUUUUUUUUUUUUUUUUUUUUUUUUAGCAAAAUAAAACAAAUAGAAAGAAAAUAAUGAGAUGGUGGUUUUGUGUUAUUUUAUUUUUUUUAAACUCUUUACUGUAAGAAAUAUAGUUGAUGGUGUUAAUGAACAUAGUACACACACACAGUACACACAAUUUUAAAGUUAUCCACAAUAGGGGUUAAGGCAGAAGUUUUACCGUACUCAUUAUUUUGUCAAAUUUGCCAUUGAUUGUAGAUUAUUAUUUUGAUAUCUCUGUUGGAAAAACAGACCAAACAACCAGUGAUAAAUAUGACCCAAUCCAUUUCUUUUGAAAUUGCUACUACUACUACUAAUAAUAAUAAUAAUAAUAAUAAUAAUAAUGGUAUUUCUUCAGUGCUUUUGUUUUCUUAAAUUUUUACCCUUUUGCAUCUGCAUUUGUGUGAUACAAUUAAAGUUGGGUUAUGUUAUUUAUGUUUUUGUGCCUUUUCAUAGCUUUUGCAUCUUAAUGCAAUUUAACAUUGGUCACUUCACGUUUCAUUUAAACCCCAUACAAAAUCAAAGAUCAACAAGUAACACAUUUGUAACCUUGCAUGCCAGUUGCAGAUGUGUACGCACAAAAGAUGAAUAGUUUUGUUUAAUGGCUGUGUAACUUAAUCAAAGUACUUCCACAGAGCAAUGGUUUGCUGUUUAAAAAUGACAAAUGCUCUAUGUCCAAUUUGUAACAGAAGCCAAUUGAAUUAUGUUUUAUCAGCUCUUGUGGCUCAUGUUCAUAUGCUCUAGUUAUCAUUCAAUCUUCUGGAAAGUCAUUGCAUUUUAUCUUGCUCUUAAUUGUAUUAAUACUUGUACUGUGAUUCUUGAAAUGUAUUUUUGUUUGUGACUGUAAGUCACCCUGGAUAAGGGUGUCUGCUAAGAAAUAAAUAAUAUAAAAUGUG